CGAAAAGACAACAUAAAACCAAGAAAGUUGAAAACAAAAUGGCAAAUAAAGUGACCGAGAACAAUUUAAAAAGAAAACAAAAUGAAUAUUACUUAUGAAGCCAUAAACGACAGGUUUUUUUUUUAUCUAAGAAGCCAUAAACAACAGUGGUGAGAGUAGAAGCUAAGAUACUGAAAAGGAAACGACAAAAUUAUGGAGAAGCGGAGUAUCGAUCCCUGUACCUCUCGCAUGCAAAGCGAGCGCUCUACCAUCUGAGCUACAUACCCAUAUGUUUUGUGGUUCCUCUUGUUAUAUUAUUUACCUAUAAAUAAGUACAUAGUGUUGGUGUGUCUCUGUAACCGCUUUUUUUUUUUUUUCGUCAGGCGGUACCACUUCUUUGAUUCAGGCCAUGGUGAUAAUAGGAAUUCAGUAUAAAUACGUGUGUACAGGGAUGUAGAUGGGGCGGGUCUGCCCCACCCCGCCCCAUUUUGCCAUGCCUAUGUGGGUACAUUGAGAAUAUAAGAAGUUGCAGCAAAAUGACAACUUAUCUUGGUAAAAUUCAUCGUUACAUCAGCUGUAUAAACUUAUUUGCUAAGAUGUUAAAGCUAGAUAGUAGAUACAGCCUGAAAAAAUGUAUACUUUUCUUUGUGUUUUGUGUUCUGUUUUUUUUUUUU